GACAGAGGAGCCAAGCGUUGUCCGGAAUUACUGGGCGUAAAGGGCUCGUAGGCGGCCAACUAAGUCAGACGUGAAAUCCCUCAGCUUAACUGGGGAACUGCGUCUGAUACUGGAUGGCUUGGAUUCGGGAGAGGAAUGCGGAAUUCCAGGUGUAGCGGUGAAAUGCGUAGAUAUCUGGAGGAACACCGGUGGCGAAGGCGGCAUUCUGGACCGACAUUGACGCUGAGGAGCGAAAGCCAGGGGAGCAAACGGG
rnacentral:rRNA from 1 species